CCAGGUGGCUAUGGUGGUGGCCCGGGCAGUGCUGGGGGACUUGGAGGGCCUGGAAUUGGUGGGCUUGGUUAUGGUUAUGGUCCUGGCGCGGUAAAACCACCUAAAAGCUAUGGAGGAACUGGAACAUUAGGUGGGGCUGGAAGAGGAGGUGUUGGUGGAGGUCCUGGAGGUCUUGGUGGUGGUUUAGGAGCAGGACCAGGAGGUGUUGGUGGAGGUCCUGGAGGAGUUGGAGGG